rnacentral:rRNA from 1 species
UUACCAUGCAGUCGAGCGGAAGCGAUGGAGAAGUUUACUUCUUCUGGCGUCGAGCGGCGGACGGGUGAGUAAUGCCAGGAAUCUGCCCUAUCGUUGGGGAUAACUACUGGAAACAACUGCUAAUACCGGAUGUGCACUACGGUUUAAAGCAGGGGACCUUCGGGCCUUGCGCUAUUGGAUGAGCCUAUGUGGGAUUAGCUAGUUGGUGAGGUAAUGGCUCACCAAGGCGACGAUCUCUAGCUGGUCUGAGAGGAUGAUCAGCCACACUGGAACUGAGACACGGCCCAGACUCCUACGGGAGGCAGCAGUGGGGAAUAUUGCACAAUGGGCGAAACCCUGAUCCAGCCAUGCCGCGUGUGUGAAGAAGGCCUUCGGGUUGUAAAGCACUUUUGUCAAGGAGAAUGGGUCUUGAGGUUAAUACCCUUGGCUGUUGAUGUUACCUGAAAAAAAACCACCGGCUAACUCCUUGCCACCACCCGCGGUAAUACGAGGGGUGCAAGCGUUAAUCGAAUUUACUGGGCGUAAAGGGCGCGUAGCGCGUUGUACUUAAGUUAUAUGUGAACCCCCCGGCUCUUCACUGUGGAAUUGUGCAUUAUAACUGUGGGUAACUAGACUGUGUAUAGAGAGUAACAGAUUUUCGGGUGUCGCGGAGAUAUGCAUAGAUCUGAGAAGAGAACACCAGUGGCGAGCGCACCUGCGUGCACCAACUGUGACUCUGAUGCGAGAACGUGUGGAGAGCACACGAGAUUAUAUACUGUGAUUCCCCACGCUGUACAAGAUGACUACGUAUGGAGGGUAGGUGUAACCUUGGCGUUCAUGAGCCUAACGCGUGUUAAUCUGUCCCGCUGGGGGAAUUACCGCUCGCCAGGGUCUGAACUCUCAAUAGGAAUUGGACGGGGGACCCGCCACAACGCGUGUGAGAGCAGUGUGUUUAUAUUUCAUAUGACAGCGCAAAAAACCCUAUACCUGGCUCUUACAUGUCUAGGGAAUCUUUCAAGAAGAUCGGAUAGGUUGCCUUUCGGGAAACUGAACACACGGGGCCUGCAUGGCUGUGCUCUCCACUCUCGUGCCCGGAAGUGUUGGGUUAAGUUCGAAACGAGCAACUGUGCUCUUAUUUGGCCCACCGUUAUGUGUGGAACUCUUAGGGAACU